UACGUAAUGUGCAAGCGUUAUCCGGAAUCAUUGGGCGUAAAGCGUUCGCAGGCGGUAAAGCAAGUUUGUGGUUAAAUCUGGUCGCUCAACGAUCAACUCGCUACAAAAACUGCUUUACUAGAGAUCAGCAGAGGCAACUGGAAUGCCGCAUGUAGGGGUAAAAUCCGUUGAUAUGCGGUGGAACACCAAAAGCGAAGGCAGGUUGCUGGGCUGUUUCUGACGCUGAGGAACGAAAGCGUGGGGAGCAAACAGG
rnacentral:rRNA from 1 species